UGCAGACUGCAGGUGGAGGGACUGCAGAGAUGAUCCGGAAACAGCCAGGGAACGCUCCUGGGUAAAGAGGAUGGAAAAGAGUGUAGGGAAGUAAACGACCAGGGUGAAGACGGAGAACAGAAGAGAAGGCACAGCAAAGAAGAAAGAGAAAGGGCUGCUCACUGGAAUCCACUGGUAGAAGCUUUGGAGUAAAUAUAUACACUCCGGAUAGUCCUAAACCCAGACAACCAGGCUCUCCCUGAGUGGAAUCCAAAGAGCAUAUGAGAAGCUCUCCAAAGCUGGUGUAGAUAGCCUAGCAUUGAGAACUUGCGGAAAGCACUGUGGGACACUGCCAUCAAUGAUGGACUUCACUUGAGCCACGGCCAGGCCUUCCGAGACUCCUCCCUGGGUUUAUGCCACACUUGAGGAAGAGGCUCUCCAUGUGGUCCCUCCAGCAGGGUAAUCAGCCUUCUCUUGCGACAGUUUAGGGCUCCAGAAGACCAAAGCAGAAAUUGCCAGUAGCCCUAGAAGCCACCUCUGAACCAGUAUAGCAUCUGUUGAUUCAAGAAAAUAAGCUUUUCCUGAGUCAAGAGGAGGGGCAACCGACCCUUCCUCUCCACAGUGUCAAAAGAACAAAAGGGAUCUGGGAGAGCCAUCUAGUCACUGUGAGGACUUUAAUCAACCUUACACAGAGACAUACAUGGAGAGCAGCUAAUGGCCCAGACAAUGGCUGACGCCAACUAGAAGUCCUGUGACUGAGCCACAUUGGGAGGUGACCCUCCAGCCAGAGAGGGAGCCUUUGGAUGAUGCAGCCUCAACUCAGUCUCAUGAGAGACCUUGAACCAGAGCGAUACAGUCUGAAUUCAGAACCUGCAGGAACUGGGGGAUAAUAUGGGAUUGAUCUGUCAUCUGGCAAUGGGUAGCUAACACAGUCGUAGACCCAUAUGGGGAAGUUAUGAGUACGUGGAGAGCUAAGGAAGCCUUGAGAGAUUGUAUGAAGAGAGGAUGAAGUCCUGCACAGCCAUGUCAGGGACCAAUGUCUUAGACACAGGGAAAUGGCGAAGCCUUCUGGUUUGAAUAGGGAUGUUGGCAGUGUGUGCAAAAACUAGCAAACAUAGCUUCCUCCUCCUGGAUGACUGCACUCUGAGACUUCUCACCUAUAGAGACCUCUUUUGGAUAUUGUAUAAACCCUCCCUCUGAGCUGUAGAUAAAAAAAUUGCUGGUUUGUGA
rnacentral:lncRNA from 1 species